rnacentral:rRNA from 1 species
GACGGAGGAUGCAAGCGUUAUCCGGAAUGAUUGGGCGUAAAGCGUCCGCAGGUGGCAGUUCAAGUCUGCUGUCAAAGACCGGGGCUUAACUUCGGAAAGGCAGUGGAAACUGAACAGCUAGAGUAUGGUAGGGGCAGAGGGAAUUCCUGGUGUAGCGGUGAAAUGCGUAGAGAUCAGGAAGAACACCGAUGGCGAAGGCAGCUCACUGGGACGGUACUGACGCUGAGGCGCGAAAGCGUGGGGAGCAAACAGG